rnacentral:rRNA from 1 species
GGAGUUAGCCGGUGCUUCUUCUGUGAGUGAUGUCCUUCCUGCCGGUUAUUGACCCGCAGGCCUUCUUCCUCACUGAAAGUGCUUUACAACCCGAAGGCCUUCUUCACACACGCGGCAUGGCUGGAUCAGGGUUGCCCCCAUUGUCCAAUAUUCCCCACUGCUGCCUCCCGUAGGAGUCUGGGCCGUGUCUCAGUCCCAGUGUGGCUGAUCAUCCUCUCAGACCAGCUACGGAUCGUCGCCUUGGUGAGCCGUUACCUCACCAACCAGCUAAUCCGACAUAGGCUCAUCCGAUAGCGCGAGGCCCGAAGGUCCCCCGCUUUCCCCCGUAGGGCGUAUGCGGUAUUAGCCUGGGUUUCCCCAGGUUAUCCCCCACUACCGGGCAGAUUCCUAUGCAUUACUCACCCGUCCGCCGCUCGCCACCAGGGAGCAAGCUCCCCGUGCUGCCGCUCGACUUGCAUGUGUAGCUCGCCGCCACGCGUCAUCUGAGCCGACGAAUACAACUACUGA